UAGGGAAUAUUGGACAAUGGGUGAGAGCCUGAUCCAGCCAUGCCGCGUGCAGGAAGAAGGCGUUAUGCGUUGUAAACUGCUUUUUGCCAGGGGAUAAAAUGACCGUGCGCGGUUAAUUGAAGGUACCUGGUGAAUAAGCCACGGCUAACUACGUGCCAGCAGCCGCGGUAAUACGUAGGUGGCAAGCGUUGUCCGGAUUUAUUGGGUUUAAAGGGUGCGUAGGUGGCUAACUAAGUCAGUGGUGAAAUAUCUCAGCUUAACUGAGAGGGUGCCAUUGAUACUGGAUAGCUUGAGUACAGAUGAGGUAGGCGGAAUUGACGGUGUAGCGGUGAAAUGCAUAGAUAUCGUCAAGAACACCGAUAGCGAAGGCAGCUUACCAAGCUGUAACUGACACUGAGGCACGAAAGUGUGGGGAUCAAACAGGAUUAGAUACCCCCGUAGUCCCUGAGCGGGCUGGCAAGGCGCAU
rnacentral:rRNA from 1 species